rnacentral:rRNA from 1 species
AUGAUGGCGACUUAAACCCUCGCCAGAGUAACAAUUGGAGGGCAAGUCUGGUGCCAGCAGCCGCGGUAAUUCCAGCUCCAAUAGCGUAUAUUAAACUUGUUGCAGUUAAAAAGCUCGUAGUUGAAUUUCUGCGUUGCGUUGUUCUUGCUUUUUGCUUGAUUUUCGCUUCGCUUUUUGUUUUUACUUUGAGAAAAUUAGAGUGUUUAUCGCAGACUUUUGUCUUGAAUACUUCAGCAUGGAAUAACAUAGUAGGACCUUGGUUCUAUUUUGUUGGUUUGGGACCUUGGUAAUGG